rnacentral:rRNA from 1 species
UGGGGAAUAUUGCACAAUGGGCGCAAGCCUGAUGCAGCCAUGCCGCGUGUGUGAAGAAGGCCUUCGGGUUGUAAAGCACUUUCAGCGGGGAGGAAGGCGUUAAGGUUAAUAACCUUGGCGAUUGACGUUACCCGCAGAAGAAGCACCGGCUAACUCCGUGCCAGCAGCUGCGGUAAUACGGAGGGUGCAAGCGUUAAUCGGAAUUACUGGGCGUAAAGCGCACGCAGGCGGUCUGUCAAGUCGGAUGUGAAAUCCCCGGGCUCAACCUGGGAACAGCAUUCGAAACUGGCAGGCUAGAGUCUUGUAGAGGGGGGUAGAAUUCCAGGUGUAGCGGUGAAAUGCGUAGAGAUCUGGAGGAAUACCGCUGGCGAAGGCGGCCCCCUGGACAAAGACUGACGCUCAGGUGCGAAAACGUGGGGAGCAAACAGG